AACAUACUCCCUCCGUCCCAUAUUAAGUGACUCAAAUUUGCCCAAACACGAUGUAUCUAUGUUUAAAAUGCGUCUAGAUACAUGUAAUAUAAAGUCACUUAAUAUGGGACGGAGGGAGUAUAAA
rfam:Brachypodium distachyon strain Bd21 chromosome 2, whole genome shotgun sequence.